rnacentral:snRNA from 1 species
GAAAAAGAAAAGCUGGCUGUGACAUCUGUCACCCUACUGAUUACCAGCACUGAUUCCUCUGAUCUGGCUACCUUGGCAGGUGUCCCCUUUCUCCCUAACCACUCCAUGUGUAUCCCUUCCAAAGCUGCAAGAUUGGUUGAAGGGGAUGACUUUCCUCUAACAGAGGAGGACCGGUCUUCAGUCAAGGGUAUACAAGUAGCUGCGCUCCCCUGCUAGAACCUUCAAACAAGCUCUCGAGGUCCAUUUGUAGGAUAACGUAUGGUAGUCAAGCUUCUUAGACUCCAGACACAUCCAAAUGAGGAACUGCACGUGGCAGUCUGUCUUU